AUUGAACGCUGGCGGCAUGCCUUACACAUGCAAGUCGAACGGCAGCACGGGAGCAAUCCUGGUGGCGAGUGGCGAACGGGUGAGUAAUAUAUCGGAACGUGCCCAGUCGUGGGGAUAACGUAGCGAAAGCUACGCUAAUACCGCAUACGAUCUAAGGAUGAAAGCGGGGGGAUCGCAAGACCUCGCGCGAUUGGAGCGGCCGAUAUCAGAUUAGCUAGUUGGUGAGGUAAAGGCUCACCAAGGCGACGAUCUGUAGCUGGUCUGAGAGGACGACCAGCCACACUGGGACUGAGACACGGCCCAGACUCCUACGGGAGGCAGCAGUGGGGAAUUUUGGACAAUGGGCGCAAGCCUGAUCCAGCAAUGCCGCGUGCAGGAUGAAGGCCUUC
rnacentral:rRNA from 1 species